rnacentral:rRNA from 1 species
CGGAAUUAUUGGGCGUAAGGGCUCGCAGGCGGUUUCUUAAGUCUGAUGUGAAAGCCCCCGGCUCAACCGGGGAGGGUCAUUGGAAACUGGGAAACUUGAGUGCAGAAGAGGAGAGUGGAAUUCCACGUGUAGCGGUGAAAUGCGUAGAGAUGUGGAGGAACACCAGUGGCGAAGGCGACUCUCUGGUCUGUAACUGACGCUGAGGAGCGAAAGCGUGGGGAGCGAACAGGAUUAGAUACCCUGGUAGUCCACGCCGUAAACGAUGAGUGCUAAGUGUUAGGGGGUUUCCGCCCCUUAGUGCUGCAGCUAACGCAUUAAGCACUCCGCCUGGGGAGUACGGUCGCAAGACUGAAACUCAAAGGAAUUGACGGGGGCCCGCACAAGCGGUGGAGCAUGUGGUUUAAUUCGAAGCAACGCGAAGAACCUUACCAGGUCUUGACAUCCUCUGACGACCCUAGAGAUAGGGCUUUCCCUUCGGGGACAGAGUGACAGGUGGUGCAUGGUUGUCGUCAGCUCGUGUCGUGAGAUGUUGGGUUAAGUCCCGCAACGAGCGCAACCCUUGAUCUUAGUUGCCAGCAUUCAGUUGGGCACUCUAAGGUGACUGCCGGUGACAAAC